rnacentral:lncRNA from 13 species
GGACGCUCAGGGGUGGUGGCCCCAUGGUGGCCACGUGGGGCCCCGCGUGACAAUUUGGGGGUGGCCCAAUGAGGCUGUCAAUGAUUAACCCGCGGUGCCUGGCGGUGGUGGCGGUGCCUGGUGGCACCGGUGGUGGCACCGGUGGUGGCACCGGGGAGCAGCCGGGGGACAUCGCGCUGGGUGCCAGGGUCCCGUGUGUCCCUCCCCAGGCGGUGGCGGGGACAGGAGGGGACACGGAGCGCCCACGAGGGGUCCCUGGGGGUCACCAGGGGGUGUUUCCCACUCAUCCCAGUCCAAACUGGGAGCGACUGGGACGUGCUGGCUGCGCUGGAAGCGACAUCCCGGGGGACACCGUGGCCUCGCGGUGUCACCGGGAAGGGAUGGCUGCAGGUGCCCCGCGGGGGAAACUGAGGCACGGCACCGCUGGCCCCGUGCCCGGGAGUCGCUGUGUCACUCCAGGGGUGGCCUGGAAGCGCCAGGACACCCUCGGGGGUCUCACGGCCCCCAGGAGCGGGGACAUCCCCGCGUGGUCCCCGCCGUGUCCCCCGGUACGGCGACAACGCCACCUCACCCUCGUCCCUGGCGUCGCGACGCCGCUGCCAGCCCGUGCCAGGCGCGUCACCUUCGAGGACGAGGUGGUGACAGCGCGGGGGAGGGCGCAGGAGAAGCUGGGGGACAGCGCUGUGUCCCCAAAAGUGUCACCGCGGCCGGGCGCUGUGUCCCCAAAAGUGUCACCGCGGCCGGGCGCUGUGUCCCCAAAAGUGUCACCGCGGCCGGGCGCUGUGUCCCCAAAAGUGUCACCGUCGCCAGGCGCCGUCGCGGACUACGUGGCGAGGUACCCCGCGAUCCGGAGCCCCCGGCAGCGGGCCGGGUACCUGGGGGUGUUCCAGGACCAGCGGCAGGAAUUCCGGGAUCUGCUCCGGGAGCUCCGUGACACUUGGCACCCUCCGGGCAGCACGGUGGGUCCCCGGAGGGGUCACCGGGGGCGGGGGGGUGUGGUGAGGGGACAGAGGGGACACC